AUUGAACGCUGGCGGCAGGCUUAACACAUGCAAGUCGAGCGGGGGAAGGUAGCUUGCUACUGGACCUAGCGGCGGACGGGUGAGUAAUGCUUAGGAAUCUGCCUAUUAGUGGGGGACAACAUCUCGAAAGGGAUGCUAAUACCGCAUACGUCCUACGGGAGAAAGCAGGGGAUCUUCGGACCUUGCGCUAAUAGAUGAGCCUAAGUCGGAUUAGCUAGUUGGUGGGGUAAAGGCCUACCAAGGCGACGAUCUGUAGCGGGUCUGAGAGGAUGAUCCGCCACACUGGACUGAGACACGGCCCAGACUCCUACGGGAGGCAGCAGUGGGGAAUAUUGGACAAUGGGGGGAACCCUGAUCCAGCCAUGCCGCGUGUGUGAAGAAGGCCUUAUGGUUGUAAAGCACUUUAAGCGAGGAGGAGGCUACUUUAGUUAAUACCUAGAGAUAGUGGACGUUACUCGCAGAAUAAGCACCGGCUAACUCUGUGCCAGCAGCCGCGGUAAUACAGAGGGUGCGAGCGUUAAUCGGAUUUACUGGGCGUAAAGCGUGCGUAGGCGGCUUAUUAAGUCGGAUGUGAAAUCCCCGAGCUUAACUUGGGAAUUGCAUUCGAUACUGGUGAGCUAGAGUAUGGGAGAGGAUGGUAGAAUUCCAGGUGUAGCGGUGAAAUGCGUAGAGA
rnacentral:rRNA from 1 species